GGUGGUGCAGACAUGGCUCGGACACGGACCGUGGUGGCCGCGAGAGGUACUGGCUGAAUUUGUGUGUACAUCCGCCUCCGGGAUGAGGCUGGAUUGAAGCAUCCAUGUAUGUAUCAUCCACUGCUUCAUGGGACUUAUUUCUCUCUUUUCUCUUUCUUUAGAUUAGUUGUCACAGCGGUUCAGCAUGCUCGAUAUUUCGCCUUCUUCAAUGGAAAAUCCUUGCUUCG
rnacentral:lncRNA from 1 species